AUUGAACGCUGGCGGCAGGCUUAACACAUGCAGGUCGAGCGGAGAUGAGGUGCUUGCACCUUAUCUUAGCGGCGGACGGGUGAGUAAUGCUUAGGAAUCUGCCUAUUAGUGGGGGACAACAUUCCGAAAGGAAUGCUAAUACCGCAUACGUCCUACGGGAGAAAGCAGGGGAUCUUCGGACCUCUCGCUAACAGAUGAGCCUAGGUCGGAUUAGCUAGUUGGUGGGGUAAUGGCCCACCAAGGCGACGAUCCGUAACUGGUCUGAGAGGAUGAUCAGUCACACUGGAACUGAGACACGGUCCAGACUCCUACGGGAGGCAGCAGUGGGGAAUAUUGGACAAUGGGCGAAAGCCUGAUCCAGCCAUGCCGCGUGUGUGAAGAAGGUCUUCGGAUUGUAAAGCACUUUAAGUCGGGAGGAAGGGCUGUAGGCUAAUACCUUGCAGUUUUGACGUUACCGACAGAAUAAGCACCGGCUAACUUCGUGCCAGCAGCCGCAGUAACAC
rnacentral:rRNA from 1 species